AAAAACUCCGGUGGUAUACGAUGGAUCCGCGUCUGAUUAGCUGGUUGGCGGGGUAACAGCCCACCAAGGCGACGAUCAGUAGCCGGCCUGAGAGGGUGAACGGCCACAUUGGGACUGAGACACGGCCCAAACUCCUACGGGAGGCAGCAGUGGGGAAUAUUGCACAAUGGGGGAAACCCUGAUGCAGCGACGCCGCGUGAGUGAAGAAGUAUUUCGGUAUGUAAAGCUCUAUCAGCAGGGAAGAAAAUGACGGUACCUGACUAAGAAGCCCCGGCUAACUACGUGCCAGCAGCCGCGGUAAUACGUAGGGGGCAAGCGUUAUCCGGAUUUACUGGGUGUAAAGGGAGCGUAGACGGCAGCGCAAGUCUGAAGUGAAAUCCCAUGGCUUAACCAUGGAACUGCUUUGGAAACUGUGCAGCUGGAGUGCAGGAGAGGUAAGCGGAAUUCCUAGUGUAGCGGUGAAAUGCGUAGAUAUUAGGAGGAACACCAGUGGCGAAGGCGGCUUACUGGACUGUAACUGACGUUGAGGCUCGAAAGCGUGGGGAGCAAACAGGACUAGAUACCCUGGUAGUCCACGCCGUAAACGAUGAUUACUAGGUGUUGGGGGACCAAGGUCCUUCG
rnacentral:rRNA from 1 species